GAGUAGGGGAUUCGCGUUAAGUGCCUAAGGAUGGGAGGUCGCCUUGGGACGAAGGCCAUGCCGCGGUGGAUCCCCGCCACCGCU
rnacentral:ncRNA from 1 species